rnacentral:rRNA from 1 species
CCUACGGGAGGCAGCAGUGGGGAAUUUUGGACAAUGGGCGAAAGCCUGAUCCAGCCAUGCCGCGUGAGUGAAGAAGGCCUUCGGGUUGUAAAGCUCUUUUAGUCGGAAAGAAAGAGUUGCAAUGAAUAAUUGUGAUUUAUGACGGUACCGACAGAAAAAGCACCGGCUAACUACGUGCCAGCAGCCGCGGUAAUACGUAGGGUGCGAGCGUUAAUCGGAAUUACUGGGCGUAAAGGGUGCGCAGGCGGUCUUGCAAGUCAGAUGUGAAAGCCCCGGGCUUAACCUGGGAAUUGCGUUUGAAACUACAAGGCUAGAGUGCAGCAGAGGGGAGUGGAAUUCCAUGUGUAGCAGUGAAAUGCGUAGAGAUGUGGAAGAACACCGAUGGCGAAGGCAGCUCCCUGGGUUGACACUGACGCUCAUGCACGAAAGCGUGNGGAGCAAACAGGAUUAGAUACCUGGUAGUCCACGCCCUAAACGAUGUCAACUAGUUGUCGGAUCUAAUUAAGGAUUUGGUAACGUAGCGUAACGCGUGAAGUUGACCGCCUGGGGAGUACGGUCGCAAGAUUAAAACUCAAAGGAAUUGACGGGGACCCGCACAAGCGGUGGAUUAUGUGGAUUAAUUCGAU